rnacentral:rRNA from 1 species
AACGAACGCUGGCGGCAGGCUUAACACAUGCAAGUCGAACGGUUGUAGCAAUACAGCAGUGGCAGACGGGUGAGUAACACGUGGGAACCUUCCUAGGGGUACGGAACAACUCAGGGAAACUUGAGCUAAUACCGUAUACGUCCGUGAGGAGAAAGAUUUAUCGCCCUUAGACGGGCCCGCGUCGGAUUAGCUAGUUGGUGGGGUAACGGCCUACCAAGGCGACGAUCCGUAGCUGAUCUUAGAGGAUGAUCAGCCACACUGGGACUGAGACACGGCCCAGACUCCUACGGGAGGCAGCAGUGGGGAAUCUUGGACAAUGGGCGCAAGCCUGAUCCAGCCAUGCCGCGUGAGUGAAGAAGGUCUUCGGAUUGUAAAGCUCUUUUACCAGGGACGAUAAUGACGGUACCUGGAGAAUAAGCCCCGGCAAACCUCGUGCCAGCAGCCGCGGUAAAAC